rnacentral:rRNA from 1 species
ACGAACGCUGGCGGCACGCUUAACACAUGCAAGUCGAACGAGAGAAGAGAAGCUUGCUUUUCUGAUCUAGUGGCGGACGGGUGAGUAACACGUGAGCAAUCUGCCUUUCAGAGGGGGAUACCGAUUGGAAACGAUCGUUAAUACCGCAUAACAUAAUUGAACCGCAUGAUUUGAUUAUCAAAGAUUUAUCGCUGAAAGAUGAGCUCGCGUCUGAUUAGCUAGUUGGUAAGGUAACGGCUUACCAAGGCGACGAUCAGUAGCCGGACUGAGAGGUUGAUCGGCCACAUUGGGACUGAGACACGGCCCAGACUCCUACGGGAGGCAGCAGUGGGGAAUAUUGCACAAUGGAGGAAACUCUGAUGCAGCGAUGCCGCGUGAGGGAAGAAGGUUUUAGGAUUGUAAACCUCUGUCUUCAGGGACGAAAAAUGACGGUACCUGAGGAGGAAGCUCCGGCUAACUACGUGCCAGCAGCCGCGGUAAUACGUAGGGAGCGAGCGUUGUCCGGAAUUACUGGGUGUAAAGGGAGCGUAGGCGGGAUCGCAAGUCAGAUGUGAAAACUAUGGGCUUAACCCAUAAACUGCAUUUGAAACUGUGGUUCUUGAGUGAAGUAGAGGUAAGCGGAAUUCCUAGUGUAGCGGUGAAAUGCGUAGAUAUUAGGAGGAACAUCAGUGGCGAAGGCGGCUUACUGGACGGUAACUGACGUUGAGGCUCGAAAGCGUGGGGAGCAAACAGGAUUAGAUACCCUGGUAGUCCACGCCGUAAACGAUGAUUACUAGGUGUGGGGGGACUGACCCCUUCCGUGCCGCAGCAAACGCAAUAAGUAAUCCACCUGGGGAGUACGACCGCAAGGUUGAAACUCAAAGGAAUUGACGGGGGCCCGCACAAGCAGUGGAGUAUGUGGUUUAAUUCGAAGCAACGCGAAGAACCUUACCAGGUCUUGACAUCCGAUGCAUAGCACAGAGAUGUGUGAAAUCCUUCGGGACAUCGAGACAGGUGGUGCAUGGUUGUCGUCAGCUCGUGUCGUGAGAUGUUGGGUUAAGUCCCGCAACGAGCGCAACCCUUACUGUUAGUUGCUACGCAAGAGCACUCUAGCAGGACUGCCGUUGACAAAACGGAGGAAGGUGGGGAUGACGUCAAAUCAUCAUGCCCCUUAUGACCUGGGCCUCACACGUACUACAAUGGCUGUCAACAGAGGGAAGCAAAGCCGCGAGGUGGAGCAAACCCCUAAAAGCAGUCUUAGUUCGGAUUGUAGGCUGCAACCCGCCUACAUGAAGUCGGAAUUGCUAGUAAUCGCAGAUCAGCAUGCUGCGGUGAAUACGUUCCCGGGCCUUGUACACACCGCCCGUCACGCCAUGGGAGUCGGUAACACCCGAAGCCUGUAGUCUAACCGCAAGGAGGACGCAGUCGAAGGUGGGAUUGAUGACUGGGGUG